rnacentral:lncRNA from 1 species
AUUAUUAGACACCCUAAAGUGUAAAAUUCCAUCAUUUUUUAAUUCCAUCAACAAAGCAUGCAGGUCAUAUGUAUCCUUAAAAAUCUCUACAUCAUUCCCCCACUAACAAUGAUAACAAAAAUUUAAUAAUAUAUUAAAAAUGUUUGACAUGCUUUUAAGGCUGUCAAACAAAAAUUACAUCGAAAAAAUAUGAGAAUGAGAUCGAGUAUAGGAGAUAUAUAUUAUAAGAGAUAACAUUAAGAUGAAAAAAGAAAUUGAAAUGUCGAGAAAUAAGAUUUACUAUGUUGGCAUUUGGCAUUCACAAUGACCAUUGUUGCACAUCAUUUUCGUAGUAACACUUGGAUAUAAUUUAUAGCAAUCACUGUGAUUAACACAUUCUCCUGUAAUGUACAAUAAGAAUAAGAAAAUAUUACUAAAAUGGGUGAAAGAUUGUGUAUAACAUAAAUAAAGAAAAUUAUGAGAAUGAACUUACUUUUACAAAGGACAACAGAUAUAAAAAGGGAAACAAAAAGUAUCACAAUAUAAACAAAUUUGAGACUUUCAGCCAUUUAUUUUUCACCUUUGUAUUUACAAAUAUAAAAUGGUUUGAUAACUUUAUAUAGUAAAAAGUAAAAACUUGUUGCCAUGUUUAC